rnacentral:rRNA from 1 species
UGGGGAAUUUUGGACAAUGGGCGCAAGCCUGAUCCAGCCAUUCCGCGUGAGUGAAGAAGGCCUUCGGGUUGUAAAGCUCUUUCGCAAGGGAAGAAAACUUACAUUCUAAUAAAGUGUGAGGCUGACGGUACCUUGAUAAGAAGCACCGGCUAACUACGUGCCAGCAGCCGCGGUAAUACGUAGGGUGCGAGCGUUAAUCGGACUUACUGGGCGUAAAGCGUGCGCAGGCGGUUUUGUAAGUCAGAUGUGAAAUCCCCGAGCUCAACUUGGGAACUGCGUUUGAAACUACAAGACUAGAAUAUGUCAGAGGGGGGUAGAAUUCAACGUGUAGCAGUGAAAUGCGUAGAGAUGUGGAGGAAUACCAAUGGCGAAGGCAGCCCCCUGGGAUAAUAUUGACGCUCAUGCACGAAAGCGUGGGGAGCAAACA